ACUUUAUCGGUUCAAAACCUGUCGGUCUACAUUCCAGUGUGCUGGUAGACGCCAAGCGUCGUGUUCUAUAGGAAAUUGAAUCGAUCGAACCCUGCGACGAUCGUUGAAAAGAAAAAUGAAGUGAUUCACCGGUAUAAAAUCAAAAAGACUGCUCGUUUACUUCCGUGAGGGUCAUCGGCAACGAGUUCACGGAUAAACCACAGGAUCUGGAACGGAAGGAUCGUACACGGAUCGAAGGCAAAAGGAAUGUGUCAAGAUGCAACCUGUGCCGUCCCUGUGUGGCGUCGUUGCCGUAUGGCUUCAUAUUCUGGCCAGCUUCGCUCAUGGACAAAGACAAGAUGGUAUGUCUUUUACAAGGCACCCUCAACCGCUGGAUGCACCAUUAGGAGACGAUGUAAACUUCGAGUGCAACCUCAAUCUUCCCGCUGAACGAUUCGCUUGGCGUCAUAGGCGGUUAAAUUCAGACAAAUGGUUGGCAGUUCCUCAUAUACCCAGUAACGGUGGCAAAACGUCCAGACAUGUUGUGAAUUUCGAUGACGAGUCGAAAGCCGGAGAUUACCGGUGUAUAGCUUUUUAUGGUUCUAGUGGAUUAGCUUCUGAUCCAGCACGAUUAACGCUUGCUACUCUUCAGAAGUUUACCGACAAGAGCGACGUUGUUAUACGCGUUGCAGCCGGGAAUACAGUACCUAUUACCUGCCCUGUGCCUUACUCUGCACCAGAAGCUAUAAUUCAAUUCUACAAAGACAAUAAUCCUAUACAGAAUGUUAAUGGGAAAACCAUGGUUAUCGAAAACGUUAAAGUAUCGGAUAGCGGAAGUUACCAUUGCUCUGCUAGUAAUUAUAUAACUAGCCAAUUGUUCAGCAGCAAUCACAAAACUAUUUUGAAUGUGCACACGAAUCCCACUUUUCAACAGCCGUACUUCAUCAAACAGCCGCAAACGGAAUAUAAAGUUCUGCGGGGAAAGAAUGUUACUCUAGAAUGUUUCGGCGUUGGUUAUCCAGUGCCUUCUGUUACGUGGAGCAGAUUAGGUAGUCCGUUACCGGCUAACUCUAUAAAGACAUCGAUGGGCUUGACGAUAAUGAACGUCCAGUCCGCAGACAGAGGAGAAUACGAUUGCACGUGGAUCAGUAAUAAUAACGCUCAUAUCAAAUCUGUGAUUAUAUUAAAAGUAAUGGAAGCGCCUAAGGUGAUCAAAUCGCCGAAGGAAUCCACGUUUUCUGAGGGUGGGGAAUUGGAGCUUUCUUGUUCAGUGACCGGCGAACCACACCCGAAAGUCGAGUGGCUAAUCAACGGAGAAUCAUUGUUGCCCAACGACAAUUUGGAAAUUAAAGGCUCCACCCUUGUUAUCUCCGAGGUUGAGAAGAAACACGCUGGCAUAGUACAAUGCGCCGCAAGCAAUGAAUACGGUUCAGAUUCUGGCUAUAAUUUGUUAUGGGUUAAUCCGAAGCAACAGAUUGGCACAACCGAAUCGCGACCGGACUACGGAGUUCCCAAUCCAAGGCACAAACACACAAGGGGAGGCGGAAGGAGAAGAAUCAAAGACGGAAAGCGAAAAGGAACUGUAGUUUUAGUACCGCCAAAUCAGCCAAACGUCACGAGACUUUCAGACGCUUCCGUAAUGGUGAGGUGGUCCGUACCUAAUAAUACGGGUUUGCCAAUUCAGUUUUUCAAAGUUCAGUAUCGCGAAUUUGGACAAAAGGUGAAUUUGGGUAAACAGGGAAAGUGGAUGACUCCGAAUUCUGAGAUAUCGCGUAAUGUGACAACGUUCGAAGUGCCCGAUUUACAGCCUGAUCAUACAUAUAGGUUUAGAAUCGCCGCGGUUUACUUAAACAAUGACAACAAGCUUAGCCGGAAUUCAGACCGUUUUCAUCUGAAAAAAAUUGGCCGGCUUCAGAGGAACAAAAUGCCUAUACCGUUGCUAACAAACACAAAAGCUUUGAGUCCUCAUGAAGUGUUACUUAUUUGGCAAAAUUCGGAUCCAUCGGCAGAAAUAGAUGGGUUCUACGUAUAUCAUCGGGCCUCGACAACGGCUGAAGACUAUGUGAAGACCACGGCUGAAGGAAAAAAUUCCUACAACAUAACGAUAUCUUAUUUACAACCUGACACGACGUACGAGUUCAAGGUACAGAGUUUCUCCGUGGAUGCCGCUUCGGAAUUCUCGAAGAUUCUUCGGCAAAAGACAAAAAAAGUCGUGAUCGAGCAUCAUGAGAACGAUAACCGUAACGAUCACGGUGGCAAUCUGACGUUGGACAGUCGGGUACGGCCCGCAGACGAUAGAAACGCGAACAUGUAUGCGAUAAUAGGCGGAGUUCUCGGUGGAUCGACUCUACUAGGUGGCUUAACAGCUGUAGCAGUAGUAUAUAAGAGAACUAAGCAUAAACAGAGCCGAGAGUCUUCGCAAAGCGAAGGAAAACCUAUUACGAAUGGAAGAGUAAUGAACGGUGGAGUUACCGACUCGAAAAUGAAUAUAACAUCAAAUCCGCUCGCUGGUCUCGACACAUCUGAAGAUAUAAUACAGCCUAAGGUCGGUAUUUGUAAGUAGCAAUAUCAAUCACUGUUGCUCUGUCUCGGAGGGAAAGAAUGACUGAACGCUGUGCUAAUUUCAUAAAAAAAGAAAAAGAAAUACUGCUCUGUUUUUAUGUACAAUACAUAACAAAAUUUCCAAUUGUCUAAAGUCAUUCGACUUUCCCCUUACAGUCAGAAGUACACUAGGCGAACGUAAACACAAUCUUAUUCGCGUACGUGUCCACUUUGUGCGCCUACGAUGUUUGUAUUGCGAACAUUCGUAUAAUUCUGUGUGUAUGUGCGCGUGUUCUGUGGAGUUGGAAUUAUGGCCGGAGUUCGAUCUUAGCCCAACGAAAUGAAUAUAGCGAAAUCGAACAAAUUUCUUGUUUUCAGUGAUUAGAUUAAAUAAAUUCCGGUCGUGAUGGCAAGCAGACUCUUGUUAAAUAUAUUCUCUAUCUAAUUCGAUCAAGCUUAUACAAUUUUAACGAAUGGAUGCAUAUUAGGUUGGACGUAAUCGAGCUCCGUUAUAUUCCAAUGGUACGCCAUAAAGUUUGACACGUUCAUCUUUGUGGUGCUUCGGCCCCCGUUCUAUUUUAAAGCGACUUCCAUUUUAUUUUAUUUUUUUUCUACGCACUAUCCGCACGCGACUGCAUCUAUGUAUUUACAUUGGACUAACGUGUUUCUGCUUUCAGACUAUUCGAUAUUAAGGAGACUAGUCUUUUCUAGCUUUAGCAUUGGUCGCGUGUGCUGCUACUUUAAUUCUGCUCGCUCUUUGCACUCUUCUCUGGAGCCGCUUUUCUUUUGUUUUUCUUCCGAACGCCACACAUAGCGGACAACAAUCGCCGAUGGAAAUGGCCUCGUUUCUAAACGGGCAAAACAACAACAGCAACAACCAUAAUACCAGUGACACAGUUGGAACUGACGUGAACACAUCAUAUACUGAGCCCACUCUGCUCCAGGGAUCACUGCCUAUUGAA